UUCUGGAAACAGAUUAAUUGUAAUUUUGAACGUGAUUGGUAAAACAGAGGUGUCCAAGUGUUUUUUAAGCUUUUCAGUAAAUGUAAUGUACUGUAGCAACUUCGGUUAGUGGUUAGCGUAUGUAAAUAAUGACUAGGAGAGUAUUUCUCUUCUGUUGCCAAAUGUUUUAUUACAGCAAAAUAUGGACUUGGGACGGUAACCUAAGGUCGAAAAAAACGCUUUUGAACCGGAGCCUGGUGCUACCUCUACUGCCGUCCAGUGUGGUUGACUCUUGGGCUGACAGCGCUGUCAGCAGCCAGACAAGAGAGGCGCUCUGUGAAAGCUGCUGCUGUCUGUUUAUAGGUUCCACAUGGGAAAAGGACAAAGGUUUAAACAGAGGGGGGAUUUCAAAAGAUAAUUAAGGAGGAAUGAACAGGCAAACUAUUGAAGGAGGCAUGGAGGAGGGAUUGGGAGCAGAGAGGAUAACAGAGGAGCGGAAGCUACCUUUGUUGUGUCUCAAACAAGUGGAUCAACUCAACUGCUUCUCAAGCGCCAUGAAUAUGUAUUAUAUCAGGUUAUUCAUCCGGCGCCAUUGUUCCACUUCAAAUUAUGUCCCACCAGAGGAACACUGAGGGAAGACAAAA